rnacentral:rRNA from 1 species
GACGAACGCUGGCGGCGUGCCUAACACAUGCAAGUCGAGCGAGGUUAUUCCUUCGGGGAUAACCUAGCGGCGGACGGGUGAGUAACACGUGGGUCACCUGCCUUAUAGAGGGGGAUAGCCUUCCGAAAGGAAGAUUAAUACCGCAUAACAUUAAGCUUUCGCAUGAGAGUUUAAUCAAAGGAGUAAUCCGCUAUAAGAUGGACCCGCGGCGCAUUAGCUAGUUGGUGAGGUAACGGCUCACCAAGGCGACGAUGCGUAGCCGACCUGAGAGGGUGAUCGGCCACAUUGGGACUGAGACACGGCCCAGACUCCUACGGGAGGCAGCAGUGGGGAAUAUUGCACAAUGGGGGAAACCCUGACGCAGCAACGCCGCGUGAGUGAUGAAGGCCUUCGGGUUGUAAAGCUCUGUCUUUGGGGACGAUAAUGACGGUACCCAAGGAGGAAGCCACGGCUAACUACGUGCCAGCCGCCGCGGUAACAC